GAUGAACGCUGGCGGCGUGCCUAAUACAUGCAAGUCGAGCGAACAGACGAGGAGCUUGCUCCUCUGACGUUAGCGGCGGACGGGUGAGUAACACGUGGAUAACCUACCUAUAAGACUGGGAUAACUUCGGGAAACCGGAGCUAAUACCGGAUAAUAUAUUGAACCGCAUGGUUCAAUAGUGAAAGACGGUUUUGCUGUCACUUAUAGAUGGAUCCGCGCCGCAUUAGCUAGUUGGUAAGGUAACGGCUUACCAAGGCAAUGAUGCGUAGCCGACCUGAGAGGGUGAUCGGCCACACUGGAACUGAGACACGGUCCAGACUCCUAUGGGAGGCAGCAGUAGGGAAUCUUCCGCAAUGGGCGAAAGCCUGACGGAGCAACGCCGCGUGAGUGAUGAAGGUCUUCGGAUCGUAAAACUCUGUUAUUAGGGAAGAACAAAUGUGUAAGUAACUAUGCACGUCUUGACGGUACCUAAUCAGAAAGCCACGGCUAACUACGUG
rnacentral:rRNA from 1 species